GGCUCGGCAGCUUAGUUGGAAAAGCACUUGUCCAGCGAAUAAGGGUCGUGAGAUCAAAUCUCACCUGAGCUG
rfam:Aedes albopictus isolate Foshan contig8036, whole genome shotgun sequence.